UGAUUGAACCUGGUCCAGUUCAUGUGCGA
rnacentral:sRNA from 1 species